rnacentral:lncRNA from 1 species
GCCUCCUGCGCUCCGCCCCUCCCUGCUGCCAACCGCCCGGCGCGCCCGGCACUGCAGGGCCCAGCUCGGCCUUAGCUUUGUCGCCACUACUUCCGCUACGAGAGGCGCGCGCGCAGGCGCAUUCCCACUCACGGGUGGCCGAGCGGAAGUGAAGUGAGGCCGAGCCAGCGGCCGGGAAGGUUUCAUAGGAGGCUUCACGAGGUUGGGCGCCCGACCCGUCUCUGCCUGCCGUGUGGCGGCUCUUCGCUGACCUCGAAAACAGUGCCUGCUCGUUUUUACACACCGACUGCGCGCGAAGGUUGGCGGCCCGCCCUUCCCCGCGCCGGCCGCUCAUUCCCACGACACAGACAAGCACAAUCAUGGCCGCUGUCCCAGAGGCGUUGGAGCGCGCUCAACAAAGUCGACAGGGAAGCCUCUCCGGGGGCGACCGUCACAAUCUCAUAGCGACGCGGGGUGGGUGGGUUCUGAGAGAGGGCCGAGCGCCCAGAGGUGCGAUGUUCCUGCCAGGUCCGCAACGAACAGCCACCAGUGCCUCGCACCCUUUCAUUUAAACACCUGCUCUAGCGAGAUCAGGUAGCCACGAACACAAAUUCGGAGGAAGGACGUGCUUCUGUGCCCGUGUGUAAUUAAAGACCAAAGUUAAGAUUCAGCGAGGAAGGACCCCUGAAGUUUUUCGUGCAAGUAGGGAACAAGAGCGAAGCUGGAACAGCAAGUAGAAACAAAUCGUUCAGCGAUUGAAGCUAAAGAACUAGCAGGACCGCUGGCCAGUAACUAUGCCUCUUGCCACAUGAAUUUUUCGCUUGCACAGUACCUCAUAAGUGUUUCUUGAUUGGCUUUACUAAGCUUUGGUGAGCCCGAUGCAGUAGCCAUCGAACUGAAGGCUUCUCGCACCUAUGUCCACUAGAGGGCAAAAGCUAUACCUGAACAUCUCCAUCAAGCUAGCCAUCGUCAAUACUACCAAAUGUGUUUCUAAGUUCUGCACCUAUAGUGUUACUGGGAUCUUUAGUGUAUUCCCCAGUCCUCCGGUUGAAGAAAUCAUCCCUCUCCACUGUGCUUCCUGUUGUGAAAGUAAACGAGAAAAAAAAAAGCACAAAAAUGCCAUUAUGAUAAUAAAUUAGAGAGAGGGAUGGCUCAGAAAUAGCUCAAGGCUUUACAAGGAUUCUCAAGUUUAGCUCUGAAAAUCAUGCUAACAGACCAUCCCUCCAACUGAGGCUACUACACAAAAUAUGGAACCUAUAUCAAAGAGAUAGUUUACAAGGUAAUGGAACUAGAAGUGGGAAUUGCAAUUUGGUAUAAGGUUUGGGAGCUAGAGAAGGGGAAUUACAAACUGAUAGCAAAGAGUUUUUGCAACACAAG